CGAGUCGGUCGGGCGGCCGCGAGCACGCCGGGAGACCGGCGGGUUCGAGGAAAGUCCGGGCUCCACAGGGCAGGGUGGUUGGUAACGCCAACCCGGGGUGACCCGCGGGACAGUGCCACAGAAAACAGACCGCCGUCGCGGGACUCGUCCGGCGACGGUAAGGGUGAAACGGUGCGGUAAGAGCGCACCAGCGCCCACGGUGACGUGGGCGGCUCGGUAAACCCCACCCGGAGCAAGGUCGAGAAGGAGCGAGCGCCAGCCCGCUCCGCGCAGAUGCUUGAGGGCGACCCGCCCGAGUCUGCGGGUAGACCGCUCGAGGCGCACGGCGACGUGCGUCCUAGAUGGAUGGUCGCCACGGGCCCGGCUUACGCAGGGCACGUACAGAACCCGGCUUACAGACCGGCUCGCCGC
rnacentral:RNase_P_RNA from 2 species